rnacentral:rRNA from 1 species
GUGCUUAACACAUGCAAGUCGAACGGAAAGGCCCUUCGGGGUACUCGAGUGGCGAACGGGUGAGUAACACGUGGGUGAUCUGCCCUGCACUUUGGGAUAAGCCUGGGAAACUGGGUCUAAUACCGGAUAGGACCACGGCAUUCAUGUGCUGUGGUGGAAAGCUUUUGCGGUGUGGGAUGGGCCCGCGGCCUAUCAGCUUGUUGGUGGGGUAAUGGCCUACCAAGGCGACGACGGGUAGCCGGCCUGAGAGGGUGACCGGCCACACUGGGACUGAGAUACGGCCCAGACUCCUACGGGAGGCAGCAGUGGGGAAUAUUGCACAAUGGGCGCAAGCCUGAUGCAGCGACGCCGCGUGAGGGAUGACGGCCUUCGGGUUGUAAACCUCUUUCGCCAGGGACGAAGCGCAAGUGACGGUACCUGGAGAAGAAGGACCGGCCAACUACGUGCCAGCAGCCGCGGUAAUACGUAGGGUCCGAGCGUUGUCCGGAAUUACUGGGCGUAAAGAGCUCGUAGGUGGUUUGUCGCGUUGUUCGUGAAAUC